rnacentral:rRNA from 1 species
GUGGGGAAUAUUGGACAAUGGGCGAAAGCCUGAUCCAGCCAUGCCGCGUGUGUGAAGAAGGUCUUCGGAUUGUAAAGCACUUUAAGUUGGGAGGAAGGGCAGUAAGUUAAUACCUUGCUGUUUUGACGUUACCGACAGAAUAAGCACCGGCUAACUUCGUGCCAGCAGCCGCGGUAAUACGAAGGGUGCACGCGUUCAUCGGAAUUACUGGGCGUAAAGCGCGCGUAGGUGGUUUUGUAAGUUGGGGGUGAAAUCCCCGGGCUCAACCUGGGAACUGCCUGCAAAACUGCAUGACUAGAGUACGGUAGAGGGUAGUGGAAUUUCCUGUGUAGCGGUGAAAUGCGUAGAUAUAGGAAGGAACACCAGUGGCGAAGGCGACUACCUGGACUGAUACUGACACUGAGGUGCGAAAGCGUGGGGAGCAAACAGGAUUAGAUACCCGUGUAGUCC